rnacentral:lncRNA from 1 species
UAGAGAUUAGGUAAAUAAAAGUCAAAGGCUUAUCUUGUGCAUCUCAAAAACUUAAUUAUUUCCCUACAGAAACACUGAAAGGAAAAAAUCCCAAGAACCCAGAAGGGCCAAAGGAAAAAGAGACUGGUAAAAGAAAAGAUGUGAUGCCUCCAACGAUCCUAAAGGAAAAGGACUCUUCAAAAGGAAAAGAAAUGAAAGUUUCAACUCUGACAAAGGAGAAAGGUAACAAUCACAUCUUGGAAUAGCAUCCUUUGCUACUGUGCCCUUGUUUUUUUCCUUGUGUCA